rnacentral:lncRNA from 1 species
UGGACCAGACCCGCAUCAUAAACUCAGUGUUUAAAACGAGAUCUUAAAGUAAGAUCUCAUUUUCUCCAAAACCUCCCUUAAGUCCAAAGCCCAGAGCUUUGCAAAUUUAACAGAUUUUCCACUUACUAAUUGAAUCAUCUGCCUCUAAAAUGGGAAAACCAUCCCAAAAGGCAGCUUACUAAACUCCUUCCUCUGCUCAUAAAUAGCUGCCUACACAUGCUCCUCUCCCUCUUCACAUAUGCUCUUUAUUGUGCUAAAAAGCUGAGUUCUGGUGGAAAGAAUCUUGUGGAAAUCCAUGUUAUUAAAAAUCAUCUUGGUUUCACAAUCCAAAUGUUGGCAAAAAAAAUCAAGAUAUUUUAGUAACAGUAUUCUAUAUCAUGAUAUUCCUUAAAUAACAGCAUCAAUAUUUUCCUCCUCCUCCUCCUCCUCCUCCUCCUUCUUCUUCUUCUUCUUCUUCUUCUUCUUUCCCCCCCCCCUCUCUCUCUCUACUGGAGAUUGAACCCAGAGGCAUUCUACCACUGAGCUGCAUCCCAGCCCUUUUUAUUUUGAGACAGAUUUUUCUAAGUUGCCCAGGAAGACCUCAAACUUGCAAUACUUCUGCCUCAGUGUCCUCCCUGGGAUUACAGGCAUACAUCGCCACACUGUGUUCAGUAGCCCCUUCCUUCUUUUUUUUUCCCCAAUAGCCCCUUUCUAACACAUAGGUAACAUCCUUUCCCACAAAAACAGUUGUAACUGAUGCACAAAUAAUAGUUGUAACUGAUGCACAGAUAACUCUUCUACCUUGUUUGCUCUUGUAAAUCUCAAAACAAUGAAAACUAAGCACAAAGUUCAGCAUGUCACAGCCAUAAAUCAAAUAUUAGAGAAGAGUUCAAAUUAGGAAAGUUGAGACUAUUAAAUGAGAUAAAGAAAAUGUAUUACAUCAUCAUGAGUCUUAGCAUUGCAUUUGUUAUACUUUUUUUCUAAACAUCUACUUAAAUCUGUCUCUUCAAGUGGACCAUAUGUUUAGUAAAGGCAAAAAUUGUGUCUUAGUUUUGAAUCACCAACACCCAGAGCAAUAUCCACCUACCUGUACUGUAAUCCCAGUGACUGAGGAGGCUUAGGCAGGAGGAUUGCAAGUCUCAGGCCAGCCUGGACAACUUGCAAAAUGCUGUCUCAAAAUAAAAAGGGUUGGGGAUGUAGCUCAGCAGUAGAGCACCGCUGGGUUCAAUUCCCAGUACUGCAAAAAACAAAACCCCAUGAGAUAAAUAUUAUAUGAAUGUAUUUUUUAAUUGUUUAAUAUAAUACAAGACAAAGAAUUUUAAAUUAUAAUAGGUACUAAAAAACUUUUAUUCUUUUGCUAUGUUGUUGUCAACCUGGUUUCAUUUUACUAAUAAUAUGUUGUCAUUUUCAGUGAAUCAUUGUUGAAAAUUGGAGCAACAAGGAAAAAAU